rnacentral:rRNA from 1 species
AAGAAAUUUAAUAAGGAUACUGUGGAACGCAGCUUGUGAGGGGAGCGUGUGUUUGGGAGACUCUGUGUGAGAGCCUGCGCUUAAUUGCGCGGUUCCGGCGGUGGUCUUUCGAGCCUGCUUCUAUUCCAAACUUCUUGCUGUUCUGUCCCAGUAUUUCAUACACACUGUGGAGUUUUUUUUUCUAAACACUUCCUCUUCUUUGGGACGAGCAAUUGUCCCGGAGUUGAAACAAACACAAACAAUUUUGUAAUACAAACAACCAGUCAAAACCAGUUUCGUUUUUCGAAAUACUACUAAUAUUUUA